AGCGAACGCUGGCGGCAGGCCUAACACAUGCAAGUCGAACGAACCUUUCGGGGUUAGUGGCGGACGGGUGAGUAACACGUGGGAACGUGCCUUUAUGUUCGGAAUAACUCAGGGAAACUUGUGCUAAUACCGAAUGUGCCCUUCGGGGGAAAGAUUUAUCGCCUUUAGAGCGGCCCGCGUCUGAUUAGCUAGUUGGUUGAGGUAAUGGCUCACCAAGGCGACGAUCAGUAGCUGGUCUGAGAGGAUGAUCAGCCACAUUGGGACUGAGACACGGCCCAAACUCCUACGCGAGGCAGCAGUGGGGAAUCUUGCGAAAUGGGCGAAAGCCUGACGCAGCCAUGCCGCGUGAAUGAUGAAGGUCUUAGGAUAGUAAAAUUCUUUCACCGGGGACGAUAAUGACGGUACCCGGAGAAGAAGCCCCGGCUAACUUCGUG
rnacentral:rRNA from 1 species